GUGACUUAAAGUUUGAAAUAAAUGUUUUCUUACGGCUAUCCUGAAUAUUUCCCUUAGCCAGGAACGGGCGUUGAUGGUGACAUUGCUAGCAAGCGGUGUGCAGUGUUGGCCAUUGUGGCUCUGGGGUGGUGGGUGGGGGGAGGGGCUCCUAACGUUCUAUGUUACAGGACCCCAGCAGUGGUGCCUAGCGCAGACGUCUCUGUUCAACUCCACGCAACUUCCUCAGUGCAACUCCACGUUACCUCGGUGCAACUUUACGUAACCUCAACACCUUCACGCAACCUUGCUCCAACUCCUCGCAACUUCAGUGCAACUCCACACGUUCUCUGUGCACUUCCCAAGCAACCUCGCGACAUCGUACAAGGGGACAGCAAGAGGGAAGGAAGCGCAAAUUGCUCCUCUAUCAUCGGCCAUUCCAGGCAGUUAACGGGACCCGGUAACACCGUAAAUACUUUGACAUUCACAUUUGCCUUGCUGCUACUGCUGCUACAGGCCUUGUGUUUGUAUCAGGGGGAGUGGGGGGGGGGGGUCUCUAACGUUCUGUCUUCCAGAUUCCUCUCCCUGGUCUACUCUCGCUCAAACAUCAAUCAAUUCCUUACUGGAACUCCACACAGCCUCGGUGCUACUCAACGCAACCUUGAUGCAACUCCAACACCGUCCAUCGGGAAGUGUCAAUGUCUCUUGCUACCCACAGUAGUAACAUUACUAUGCAAUGGUCAUGAGCAGUGCCGCUAGGUAGCCACGAGUGUGAACACGGAGGUUGUGUUUAUCAUUGUCAAGUCUCAGCAGGUGGUGGUGGUGGUGAAUCGGAAACGCAAGUUGAUGCACAGAGCAAGCAGCCGCACUGCUGUACAACACCAACCCAGCCCUGGGUGGAAGGCGGGAGAAGCCGUACGGCCUUUACCAUCCACCAGGGAGUCAAUGACUCUUGUACUUCCCACACGGCAACAUUAUUUAUCAAUGGCAGUGAGCCUUGGCUGUGUAGCCCACACGUGGACAUACGGAGGUCGUGUUUAUCGUUGUCAAGGCUGAGCGGGUGAUGGUGGCGAUGGGCGGUAUGGGAGAAACGCAACCCCCUACCGCUGUUACAACCCAGUCCUGGACAGGAGAGGCCAGAGACGACCAACAGCGUCCAUCAGGGAGUGUCAAUGUCUCUCGCUACCCACAGCAGCAGCAUUCGUUAUUAUCAAUGGCAAUGAUCCGUGCUCUGUAGCCACGCGUGAGCAUCAUGGAGGUUGUGUUUUAUUAUUGUUAAGGCUGAGCGGGUGGUGGUGAUGGGGAAUCAGACACGCUGGCAUCCGUUCCUGCCACCCCCAACUUUGAGAAAGAUGUCUGGGCGAGUUCUCAACCCAGGUAACCGUGCGAGUCUCCGGCCCGAUCCUCGGCCUUCUCACCAAACGAUCGAUUAGUUUUCGUAAUUGGAAACGCGGGGAAAUGUUGUCAGGAGGACGUUGUGAAAGUUUCAAUGGAGGCAAAACUUGAAACCUUUAUUUGCAAAUGACCACAGCAUGAAGUUUCCUUAAUGUGACCUGAAGAUUGAAAUUAAUGUUUUCUUACGGCUGUCCCGAAUAGUUGUGUAAGCCAGAAAAGGGCGUUGAUGGUGACAUUGCUAGCGAGCGGUGUGCAGUGUUGGUCAUUGUGGCUCUGGGGUGGUGGGUGGGGGGAGGGGCUCCUAACGUUCUGUGUUACAGGACCCCAGCAUUUGUGCCUAGCGCAGACGUCUUUGUUCAACUCUACGCAACUUCCUCAGUGCAACUCCACACGGCCUCAGUUGCAAUUCCUCCACACAACCUCGUUGCAACUCCACGUUACCUCGGUGCAACUUUACGUAACUUCAGAACACCUUCACGCAGCCUUGCUCUCCAAACUUCUCGCAACUUCAGUGCAACUUCAGUGCAACUCCACGCUUUCUCUGUGCAACUCCCAAGCAACCUCGUGACAUCGUACAAGGGGACAGCAAGAGGGAAGGAAUCGCAAAAAGCUCCUCUAUCAUCGGCCAUUCCAGGCAGUUAACGGGACCCGGUAACACCGUAAAUACUUUGACAUUCACAUUUGCCUUGCUGCUACUGCUACUACAGGCCUUGUGUUUGUAUCAGGGGGAGUGGGGCGGGGGGUCUCUAACGUUUUGUCUUCCAGAAUCCUCUCCCUGGUCUACUCUCGCUCAAACAUCAAACAUCUCGGUACAGCUCCAAACCAAGGAAGCCCCAACGGGGCAGAGAUCCCAGGCAGUGACGGGACAGGGAGCCAGGUCUGCGUCUUUGAUGUCUCGGUUCAACUCCACGCGGCUUCGUGUUGUUGCAAGCGGAGUGGAGGGCGUGCAGAUGUCUGGGGCGUCGUCGGGAGAAUCCAGACCGUUAACGGGACACCUGGUAAAGUUAAAACGCCGUUGCCUUUCGAAUUAUCAACGACGACUACGGGCUUUGCUUUUGUAUCGGAGUUGCGGGGGGGGGGGGGGGGGGUCUUAACGUUUUAUUUUCCAGAAUCCCUCGCUUCUGCGUCCUCGCAAUGCCAGCAAAGAGGGGGAAGAGAGAUCAUCGGUGAAUCCAGGCAGUGGCAAGAGCUAAAGUCUGAUUUACACAGACGUCUCUCUCGCUUCGAGCUCCACACAAACCCUCUCGUGCGUCCCGUGAAGGAAGUGCGGAUGUCUGGGGCGUCGUCGGGAAAACCCAGGCAGUUAACGGACCUCCUGGUAAAAGCGCAGCUCCUGGGCCAUCCGUUGCUUUCAAGUUUGUUGACUGUGGCAGUUGGGGGAGGGGGGGGGGGUUCCUUUAACGCUGCAACCUGCAGACUCCUCCACCCGGCUACUCGCGGAGGAGGAGGAGGCCCAAGGUCUGCGUCCGUCGGCGAUUCCAGGCGGUUGUACCGGUACCUGGCGACACCACAAAUACUUUGGCGCCUGUUUUAAUUGGCCUAGCUACUACCGUAGUUGUGUUUGUAUCGGCAGUAGGAGGCGGCGGGGGGGGGGUACUCUAACGUUCUGUCUUCCAGAAUCCUCCCCGGGUCUACUCUCCUACUCGCUUUGAACAUCUCAACAUCUCGAUAGAGCUCCAAACCAAGGAAGCCCCAUGGGGUAGAGAUCCCAAGCAGUGACGGGACAGGGAGCCAGGUCUGCGUCUUUGAUGUCUCGGUUCAAGUGCAGAGGAAGGAAGUGCAAACGGUCGAAUCGGCGGUGGAUACGGGCAGUUAGCGGACCUCCUGGUAACACCGCAACUCCUUUGGCCGUGCGUUUGAAUUUGCCUCGCUGCUGCUACUACAGGAUUUAUUUGUAUCGGGGAGGGGGGAGGGGCUCCUAACGUUCUGUGUUACAGGACCCCACAGUUGUGCCUAGCGCAGACGUCUCUGCAAUUCCUUACUGGAACUCCACACAGCCUCGGUGCUACUCAACGCAACUUUGAUGCAACUCCAACACCGUCCAUCAGGGAGUGUCAAUGUCUCUUGCUACCCACAGCAGCAACAUUAUUACUAUGCAAUGGUCAUGAGCAGUGCUGCUAGGUAGCCACGAGUGUGAACACGGAGGUCGUGUUUAUCAUUGUCAAGGCUGAGCGGGUGAUGGUGGCGAUGGGCGGAAUGGGAGAAACGCAACCCCCUACCGCUGUUACAACCCAGUCCUGGACAGGAGAGGCCAGAGACGACCAACAGCGUCCGACAUCAGGGAGUGUCAAUGUCUCGCUACCCACAGCAGCAGCAUUCGUUAUUAUCAAUGGCAAUGAGCCGUGCUGUGUAGCCACGCGUGAGCAUCAUGGAGGUUGUGUUUUAUUGUCAAGGCUGAGCGGGUGGUGGUGGUGGUGAUGGGGAAUCGGACACGCUGGCAUCCGUUCCUGCCCCCCCAACUUUGAGAAAGAUGUCUGGGCGAGUUCUCAACCCAGGUAACCGUGCGAGUCUCCGGCCCGAUCCUCGGCCUUGCUCACCAAACGAGCGAUGUGGAUGUUUUACUUGAACACCAGAGGAACAUUAAAUUCUCCCAAACGCAGCUGUCGGCAGUGGCUGAGCUCGCUUGCCAUCAAGGAGAUUCAAUUGAUUUUGAUAACGUUGAAGUGUUACACGGAACUAAUUAUUACUGGCCAAGAUUAGUUGGAGAAUAACAGACUCGGCGCAGCCUGGAAGCGUCUUAAAUCUCGACCUUGAAGCUUUCGUGACUGCAGGAAUUAAUAUUCUUUGGGUCAUUUGGUAAAGCCACGUGACUUUGCCGAAAGACCCAAAGAAUAUGGAAGCGUAUAAUUAAGUAAUACACAAUACACUUUGCAAUUGCUUACAGGUCAGUGACAUGCUAAGUUGCUGAUUACUGAUCUAUAACUUGAUUGCAUAUACCCCCGCCUCUGAUCUCGAAUCCUGAUGGGGUUCAACAACGAUGACAUGGUCAUCCUGCGCUAUUUAAGACCAGAAGCAAGUGGGUGGUUUCACUAUUCUGGCAAAUUUGCCCGAAGGCGCCGGAUGUGAUUUGCAGUGAAACGUCACGCUAACCAGGUUGUCAAUGUUGUGGAUCCACUCUGCAACAUACCGGCGGGCUAAAGUGGUGAACUAUUUUGUCUCUUGUCAACGUGACACAUUUUUUUACUGAUUGGCCGUGUCGGGUGGUGGAGGGUUGCGACACAUUUAUAAAUAACGCGAUCUGACACAAACACCUUCACCGUGAGUCAUCGUGGUCGCGAAAGCGUGCGACGUGUUAGACCGAGGUUUGAUAAAUUGAACUUUUGGCGUUCAUAAUUGAACACGCGGGGAAAAGUUGUCGGCAGGACUUUGAAAGUUUUAAUCGAGGCAAAACUUGAAACCUUUAUUUGCAAAUGAACACAGCAUGAAGUUUACGUCAUGUGAGCUGAAGAUUGAAAUCAAUGUUUUCUUUGGACUAUCCUGAAUAUUUCCCUAAGCCAGGAAAGGGCGUUGAUGGUGACAUUGCUAGCGAGCGGUGUGCAGUGUUGGCCAUUGUGGCUCUGGGGUGGUGGGUGGGGGGGGGGGUGCUCCUAACGUUCUAUGUUACAGGACCCCAGCAGUUGUGCCUAGCGCAGACGUCUCUGUUCAACUCCACACAACUUCCUCAGUAGCAACUCCACACUGCCUCAGUGCAACUCCUCCACACAACCUCGGUGCAACUCCACGUUACCUCGGUGCAACUCUACGUAACCUCAGAACACCUUCACGUAACCUUGCUCCAACUCCUCACAACUUCAGUGCAACUCCACACGUUCUCUGUGCAACUCCCAAGCAACCUCGCGACAUCGUACAAGGGGACAGCAAGAGGGAAGGAAGCGCAAAUUGCUCCUCUCAUCGGCCAUUCCAGGCAGUUAACAGGACCCGGUAACACCGUAAAUACUUUGACAUUCACAUUUGCCUUGCUACUACUACUACUACAGGCCUUGUGUUUGUAUCAGGGGGAGUGGGGGGGGGGGUCUCUAACGUUCUGUCUUCCAGAAUCCUCUCCCUGGUCUACUCUCGCUCAAACAUCAAACAUCUCGGUACAGCUCCAAACCAAGGAAGCCUCAACGGGGCAGAGAUCCCAGGCAGUGACAGGACAGGGAGCCAGGUCUGCGUCUUUGAUGUCUCGGUUCAAGUGCAGAGGAAGGAAGUGCAAACGGUCGAAUCGGCGGUGGAUACGGGCAGUUAGCGGACCUCCUGGUAACACUGCAACUCCUUUGGCCGUGCGUUUGAAUUUGCCUCGCUGCUGCUACUACUACAGGAUUUGUUUGUAUCGGGGAGGGGCUCCUAACGUUCUGUGUUACAGGAUCCCAGCAGUUGUGCCUAGCGCAGACGUCUCUGUUCAACUCCACGCAAUUCCUUACUGGAACUCCACACAGCCUCGGUGCUACUCAACGCCACCAGGGAGUGUCCAAUGUCUCUUGCUACCCACAGCAGCAACAUUAUUACUAUGCAAUGGUCAUGAGCAGUGCUGCUAGGUAGCCACGAGUGUGAACACGGAGGUCGUGUUUAUCGUUGUCAAGGCUGAGCGGGUGAUGGUGACGAUGGGCGGAAUGGGAGAAACGCCAACCCCCUACCGCUGUUACAACCCAGUCCUGGACAGGAGAGGCCAGGGACGACCAACAGCGUCCAUCAGGGAGUGUCAAUGUCUCUCGCUACCCACAGCAGCAGCAUUCUUUAUUAUCAAUGGCAAUGAGCCGUACUCUGUAGCCACGCGUGAGCAUCAUGGAGGUUGUGUUUUAUUAUUGUCAAGGCUGAGCGGGUGGUGGUGGUGAUGGGGAAUCGGACACGCUGGUAACCGUGCGAGUCUCCGGCCCGAUCCUCGGCCUUGCUCACCAAACGAGCGAUGUGGAUGUCUAUUUGAGGUUUGUUGACGUUUUGGUUUUCGAAAUUGGCCACGCGGGGAAAAGUUGUCGGUAGGACUUUGAAAGUUUUAAUGGAGGCAAAACUUGAAACCUUUAUUUGCAAAUGACCACAGCGUGAAGUUUACGUAAUGUGACCUGAAGAUUGAAAUCAAUGUUUUCUUACGGCUAUCCUGAAUAUUUCCCUAAGCCAGGAAAGGGCGUUGAUGGUGACAUUGCUAGCGAGCGGUGUGCAGUGUUGGCCAUUGUGGCUCUGGUGGGUGGGGGGAGGGGCUCCUAACGUUCUAUGUUACAGGACCCCAGCAGUUGUGCCUAGCGCAGACGUCUCUGUUCAACUCCACGCAACUUCCUCAGUUGCAACUCCACACGGCCUCAGUGCAACUCCACGCGUUCUCUGUGCAACUCCCAAGCAACCUCGCGACAUCGUACAAGGGGACAGCAAGAGGGAAGGAAGCGCAAAUUGCUCCUCUAUCAUCGGCCAUUCCAGGCAGUUAACGGGACCCGGUAACACCGUAAAUACUUUGACAUUCACAUUUGCCUUGCUGCUACUACUGCUACAGGCCUUGUGUUUGUAUCAGGGGGAGUGGGGGGGGGGGUCUCUAACGUUCUGUCUUCCAGAAUCCUCUCCCUGGUCUACUCUCGCUCAAACAUCAAACAUCUCGGUACAGCUCCAAACCAAGGAAGCCCCAACGGGGCAGAGAUCCCAGGCAGUGACUUGACAGGGAACCAGGUCUGCGUCUUUGAUGUCUCGGUUCAAGUGCAGAGGAAGGAAGUGCAAACGGUCGAAUCGGCGGUGGAUACGGGCAGUUAGCAGACCUCCUGGUAACACCGCAACUCCUUUGAAUUUGCCUCGCUGCUGCUACUACAGGAUUUGUUUGUAUCGGGGAUGGGGGAGGGGCUCCUAACGUUCUGUGUUACAGGACCCCAGCAGUUGUGCCUAGCGCAGACGUUUCUGUUCAACUCCAUGCAAUUCCUUACUGGCACUCCACACAGCCUCGGUGCUAUUCAACGCAACCUUGAUGCAACGUCAACACCGCCCAUCAGGGAGUGUCAAUGUCCCUUGCUACCCACAGCGGCAACAUUAUUACUAUGAAAUGGUCAUGAGCAGUGCUGCUAGGUAGCCACGAGUGUGAACACGGAGGUUGUGUUUAUCGUUGUCAAGGCUGAGCGGGUGAUGGUGGCGAUGGGCGGAAUGGGAGAAACGCAACCCCCUACCGCUGUUACAACCCAGUCCUGGACAGGAGAGGCCAGAGACGACCAACAGCGUCCAUCAGGGAGUGUCAAUUUCUCUCGCUACCCACAGCAGCAGCAUUCUUUAUUAUCAAUGGCAAUGAGCCGUGCUGUGUAGCCACGCGUGAGCAUCAUGGAGGUUGUGUUUUAUUAUUGUCAAGGCUGAGCGGGUGGUGGUGAUGGGGAAUCGGACACGCUGGGAUCCGUUCCUGCCACCCCCAACUUUGAGAAAGAUGUCUGAGCGAGUUCUCAUCCCAGGUAACUGUGCGAGUCUCCAUCCUGAUCCUCGGCCUUGCUCACAAAACGAGCGAUGUGGAUGUCUAUUUGAGGUUCGUUGACGUUUUGGUUUAUGUAAUUGGCCACGCGGGGAAAAGUUGUCGGCAAAACUGUUUAAGUUUUAAACGUGGCAUGAUCUGAAACCUCAUUAGUAAAGAACCACAACGUUAAGUUUAUGUAAUGUGACCUGAAGAUUGGAAUUAAUGUUUUCUUAUGGCUGUCCUGAAUAGUUGCGUAACCAGGAAAGGGCGUUGAUGGUGACAUUGCUAUCAAGCGGUGUGCAGUGUUGGCCUAUGGGGUGGUGGGUGGGGGGAGGGGCUCCUAACGUUCUGUUACAGGACCCCAGCAGUUGUGCCUAGCGCAGACGUCUCUGUUCAACUCUGCAACUUCCUCGGUGCAACGCCACACGGUCUCCGCAACUCCACACAACCUCGCUGCAACUCCACACAAACUCGGUCAAACUCUGCGUAACCUCAGAACAAUUUCACUCAACCUUGCUCCAACUCCUCGCAACUUCAGUGCAACUCCACGCGUUCUCUGCAACUCCCAAGCAACCUCGCGACAUCGUACAAAGGGACAGCAAGAGGGAAGGAAGCGCAAAUUGCUCCUCUAUCAUCGGCCAUUCCAGGCAGUUAAUGGGACCCGGUAACACCGUAAAUGCUUUGACAUUCACAUUUACCUUACUGCUAAUACUACUACAGGCCUUGUGUUUGUAUCAGGGGGAGUGGGGGGGGGUCUCUAACGUUCUGUCUUCCAGAAUCCUCUCCCUGGUCUACUCUCGCUCAAACAUCAAACAUCUCGGUACAGCUCCAAACCAAGGAAGCCCCAACGGGGCAGAGAUCCCAGGCAGUGACGGGACAGGGAGCCAGGUCUGCGUCUUUGAUGUCUCGGUUCAACUCCACGCGGCUUCGUGUUGUUGCAAGCGGAGUGGAGGGCGUGCAGAUGUCUGGGGCGUCGUCGGGAGAAUCCAGACUGUUAACGGGACACCUGGUAAAGUUAAAACGCCGUUGCCAUUCGCAUUAUCAACGACUACUUCAGGCUUUGCGUUCGUUUCGGAGUUGGUGGGGGGGGUCUUAACACCGUGUCUUCCAGAAUCCCUCGCGUCUCCUGCGUCCUCACGACGCCAGCAAAAAGGGGGAAGAGAGAUCAUCGGUGAAUCCAGGCAGUGGCAAGAACUCAAGUCUGAUUUACACAGACGUCUCUAUCGCUUCGAGCUCCACACAAACCCUCUCGUGCGUCCCGUGAAGGAAGUGCGGAUGUCUGGGGCGUCGUCGGGAAAACCCAGGCAGUUAACGGACCUCCUGGUAAAACCGCAGCUCCUGGGCCAUCCGUUGCUUUCAAGUUUGUUGACUGUGGCAGUUGGGGGAGGGGGGGGUUCCUUUAACGCUGCAACCUGCAGACUCCUCCACCAGUCUACUCGCGGAGGAGGAGGAGGCCCAAGGUCUGCGUCCGUCGGCGAUUCCAGGCGGUUGUACCGGUACCUGGCGACACCACAAAUACUUUGGCGUCUGUUUUAAUUGGCCUAGCUCAGGGGUGGGCAAGUUUUUUAACUCACGGGUCACAAUGGGUUCUAGAAUUUGACCGAGGGACAGGGCCAGGAACAGAUGGAUCGAGUGUUUGUGUUACCUAAUAUAAAUGACGUGUAAAAAUCAUUACAUGAAAGGAUUUGGCCUUUUAACAGGUUAGCAAAGCAUUAAUUUGCAAAGGAAUUUAACAAAUUGCACGAACAUGAACAACACAAACAUGUCGUAACGUGACUGAUCAAACAUCAUGAAAACAACGCCAUGUAAUGGGGAAAUGGCGGCAUUACAGGAGAAAGGUAAAAUUUAAUUUAAUAAUCAUAUUUGGACAAGUUCGACGGACCGGAUUUAAAAGCCCAACGGGCCGUACUUUGCCCAUGCCUGGCCUAGCUACUACCAGAGUUGUGUUUGUAUCGGCAGUAGGCGGGGGGGGGGGUACUCUAACGUUCUGUCUUCCAGAAUCCUCCCCGGGUCUACUCUCCUACUCGCUUUGAACAUCAUCUCAACAUCUCGGUACAGCUCCAAACCAAGGAAGCCCCAGCGGGGCAGAGAUCCCAGGCAGUGACAGGACAGGGAGCCAGGUCUGCGUCUUUGAUGUCUCGGUUCAAGUGCAGAGGAAGGAAGUGCAAACGGUGGAAUCGGCGGUGGAUACGGGCAGUUAGCGGACCUCCUGGUAACACCGCAACUCCUUUGAAUUUGCCUCGCUCCUGCUACUACUACAGGAUUUGUUUGUAUCGGGGAGGGGGGAGGGGCUCCUAACGUUCUGUGUUACAGGACCCCAGCAGUUGUGCCUAGCGCAGACGUCUCUGUUAACCUCCACGCAAUUCCUUACUGGAACUCCACACAGCCUCGGUGCCACUCAACGCAACCUUGAUGCAACGUCAACACCGUCCAUCAGGGAGUGUCAUUGUCUCUUGCUACCCACAGCAACAUUAUUAUUAUUAUUAUGCAAUGGUCAUGAGCAGUGCUGCUUGGUAGCCACGAGUGUGAACACGGAGGUUGUAUUUAUCAUUGUCAAGGCUGAGCGGGUGAUGGUGACGAUGGGCGGAAUGGGAGAAACGCAACCCCCUACCGCUGUUACAACCCAGUCCUGGACAGGAGAGGCCAGAGACGACCAUCAGCGUCGAUCAGGGAGUGUCAAUGUCUCUCGCUACCCACAGGAGCAGCAUUCUUUAUUAUCAAUGGCAAUGAGCCGUGCUCUGUAGCCACGCGUGAGCAUCACGGAGGUUGUGUUUUAUUAUUGUCAUGGCUGAGCGGGUGGUGGUGGUUGUGAUGAGGAAUCGGACACGCUGGCAUCCGUUCCUGCAACCCCAACUUUGGGAAUGAUGUCUCUGGGCGAGUUCUCAACCCAGGACCCCAGCAGUUGUGCCUAGCGCAGACGUCUUUGUUCAACUCCACGCAACUUCCUCAGUGCAACUCCACACGGCCUCAGUGCAACUCCUCCACACAACCUCGGUGCAACUCUACGUAACCUCAGAACACCUUCACGCAACCUUGCUCCAACUCCUCGCAACUUCAGUGCAACUCCACACGUUCUCUGUGCAACUCCCAAGCAACCUCGCGACAUCGUACAAGGGGACAGCAAGAGGGAAGGAAGCGCAAAUUGCUCCUCUAUCAUCGGCCAUUCCAGGCAGUUAACGGGACCCGGUAACACCGUAAAUACUUUGACAUUCACAUUUGCCUUGCUACUACUGCUACAGGAAUUGUGUUUGUAUCAGGGGGGAGUGGGGGGGGGGUCUCUAACGUUCUGUCUUCCAGAAUCCUCUCCCUGGUCUACUCUCGCUCAAACAUCAAACAUCUCGGUACAGCUCCAAACCAAGGAAGCCCCAACGGGGCAGAGAUCCCAGGCAGUGACGGGACAGGGAGCCAGGUCUGCGUCUCGAUGUCUCGGUUCAAGUGCAGAGGAAGGAAGUGCAAACGGUCGAAUCGGCGAUGGAUACGGGCAGUUAGCGGACCUCCUGGUAACACCGCAACUCCUUUGGCCGUGCGUUUGAAUUUGCCUCGCUGCUGCUACUACUACAGGAUUUGUUUGUAUCGGGGAGGGGGGAGGGGCUGCUAACGUUCUGUGUUACAGGACCCCAGCAGUUGUGCCUAGCGCAAACGUCUCUGUUCAACUCUACGCAAUUCCUUACUGGAACUCCACACAGCCUCGGUGCUACUCAACGCCACCAGGGAGUGUCCAAUGUCUCUUGCUACCCACAGCAGCAACAUUAUUACUAUGCAAUGGUCAUGAGCAGUGCUGCUAGGUAGCCACGAGUGUGAACACGGAGGUCGUGUUUAUCGUUGUCAAGGCUGAGCGGGUGAUGGUGACGAUGGGCGGAAUGGGAGAAACGCAACCCCCUACCGCUGUUACAACCCAGUCCUGGACAGGAGAGGCCAGGGACGACCAACAGCGUCCAUCAGGGAGUGUCAAUGUCUCUCGCUACCCACAGCAGCAGCAUUCUUUAUUAUCAAUGGCAAUGAGCCGUGCUCUGUAGCCACGCGUGAGCAUCAUGGAGGUUGUGUUUUAUUAUUGUCAAGGCUGAGCGGGUGGUGGUGGUGAUGGGGAAUCGGACACGCUGGCAUCCGUUCCUGCCACCCCCAACUUUGAGAAAGAUGUCUGGGCGAGUUCUCAACCCAGGUAACCGUGCGAGUCUCCGGCCCGAUCCUCGGCCUUGCUCACCAAACGAGCGAUGUGGAUGUCUAUUUGAGGUUUGUUGACGUUUUGGUUUUCGAAAUUGGCCACGCGGGGAAAAGUUGUCGGUAGGACUUUGUGAAAGUUUUAAUGGAGGCAAAACUUGAAACCUUUAUUUGCAAAUGACCACAGCGUGAAGUUUACGUAAUGUGACCUGAAGAUUGAAAUCAAUGUUUUCUUACGGCUUUUCUGAAUAUUUCCCUAAGCCAGGAAAGGGCGUUGAUGGUGACAUUGCUAGCGAGCGGUGUGCAGUGUUGGCCAUUGUGGCUCUGGUGGGUGGGGGGAGGGGCUCCUAACGUUCUAUGUUACAGGACCCCAGCAGUUGUGCCUAGCGCAGACGUCUCUGGUCAACUCCACGCAACUUCCUCAGUUGCAACUCCACACGGCCUCAGUGCAACUCCACGCGUUCUCUGUGCAACUCCCAAGCAACCUCGCGACAUCGUACAAGGGGACAGCAAGAGGGAAGGAAGCGCAAAUUGCUCCUCUAUCAUCGGCCAUUCCAGGCAGUUAACGGGACCCGGUAACACCGUAAAUACUUUGACAUUCACAUUUGCCUUGCUACUGCUACUACUACUACAGGCCUUGUGUUUGUAUCAGGGGGAGUGGGGGGGGGGUCUCUAACGUUCUGUCUUCCAGAAUCCUCUCCCUGGUCUACUCUCGCUCAAACAUCAAACAUCUCGGUACAGCUCCAAACCAAGGAAGCCCCAACGGGGCAGAGAUCCCAGACAGUGACGGGACAGGGAGCCAGGUCUGCGUCUUUGAUGUUUCGGUUCAAGUGCAGAGGAAGGAAGUGCAAACGGUGGAAUCGGCGGUGGAUACGGGCAGUUAGCGGACCUCCUGGUAACACCGCAACUCCUUUGGCCGUGCGUUUGAAUUUGCCUCGCUGCUGCUACUACUACAGGAUUUAUUUGUAUCGGGGAGGGGGGGGGGCUCCUAACGUUCUAUGUUAGAGGACCCCAGCAGUUGUGCCUAGCGCAGACGUCUCUGUUCAACUCUACGCAACUUCCUCAGUUGCAACUCACACGGCCUCAGUGCAACUCUUCCACACAACCUCGGUGCAACUCCACGUUACCUCAGUGCAACUUUACGCAACCUCAGAACACCUUCACGCAACCUUGCUCCAACUCCUCACAACUUCAGUGCAACUCCACACGGCCUCAGUUACAACUCCACACACCCUCGCUGCAACUCCUCCACACAACCUCGGUGCAACUCCACGUAACCUCGGUGCAACUCCACGUAACCUCGGAACAAUUUCAUUCAACCUUGCUCCAACCCCUCGCAGCUCCAGUGCCAUCCGUUGCUUUCAAGUUUGGGACUGGGACUUGGGGGAGGGUUGGGGGGGGGUCUCUAAUUCGCUGUCUUCUAGAAUUCCCAUCCAGCGUCUCUUGACUCAGAACAUUCCCGCCAGAGCUCCUCCAAGCAAGUCUCUCACGUGGUCGCAGCCCCCUACCGCUGUUACAACCCAAGUCCUGGACAGGGGAGGCUUGAGAAAACCAACACCGUCAGGGAGUGUCAAUGUCUCUUGCUACCCACAGCAGCAACAUUAUUACUA